GUCCACGCUGUAAACGAUGCAUACUAGGUUCGGGUGUCUCUGACGGCUCCCGAUCCGAAACAAAAGCGAUAAGUAUGCCGCCUGGGGAGUACGGCCGCAAGGCUAAAACUCAAAGGAAUUGACGGGGGCUCACACAAGCGGUGGAGCAUGUGGCUUAAUUCGAAGCAACGCGAAGAACCUUACCCAGGUUUGACAUGCACGGAUGCUUUAGUGGGAUAACCAUUAAAGUCGCCCGCAAGGGUGGAACGUGCACAGGUGUUGCAUGGCUGUCGU
rnacentral:rRNA from 1 species